CAGCACAGGUAGCAAUACUGGGUGGCGACCGGCAAACGGGUGCGGAACACGUACGCAACCUUCCUUUAAGCGGGGAAUAGCCCAGGGAAACUUGGAUUAAUACCCCAUAAGACAGUGGGAUGGCAUCAUUCAGCUGUUAAAGCUACGGCACUUAAAGAUGGGCGUGCGGCUGAUUAGGUAGUUGGCGGGGUAAAGGCCCACCAAGCCGACGAUCAGUAACUGGUGUGAGAGCACGACCAGUCACACGGGCACUGAGACACGGGCCCGACUCCUACGGGAGGCAGCAGUAAGGAAUAUUGGUCAAUGGACGCAAGUCUGAACCAGCCAUGCCGCGUGGAGGAUGAAGGCCCUCUGGGUUGUAAACUUCUUUUAUUGGGGAAGAAACCUGUCUUUUCUAAGGCAGUUGACGGUACCCAUUGAAUAAGCACCGGCUAACUCCGUGCCAGCAGCCGCGGUAAUACGGAGGGUGCAAGCGUUAUCCGGAUUCACUGGGUUUAAAGGGUGCGUAGGUGGGUAGGUAAGUCAGUGGUGAAAUCUCCAAGCUUAACUUGGAAACUGCCGUUGAUACUAUUUAUCUUGAAUAUAGUGGAGGUGAGCGGAAUAUGUCAUGUAGCGGUGAAAUGCUUAGAUAUGACAUAGAACACCAAUUGCGAAGGCAGCUUGCUACACUAUUAUUGACACUGAGGCACGAAAGCGUGGGGAUCAAACAGGAUUAGAUACCCUGGUAGUCCACGCCCUAAACGAUGGAUACUCGACAUCAGCGAUACACUGUUGGUGUCUGAGCGAAAGCAUUAAGUAU
rnacentral:rRNA from 1 species